AAUCAACGCUGGCGGCGUGCCUCAGACAUGCAAGUCGAACGCGAAAGUCCCCUUCGGGGAGUGAUUAGAGUGGCGCACGGGUGAGUAACACGUAGGUAAUCUACCUUCGAGUGGGGAAUAACUCAGGGAAACUUGAGCUAAUACCGCAUAAUGCAGCGGCACCACAUGGUGACAGUUGUUAAAGCAUUUAUGCGCUUGAAGAGGAGCCUGCGGCGGAUAGCUAGUUGGUAAGGUAAUGGCUUACCAAGGCUACGAUCUGUAACCGGCCUGAGAGGGCGGACGGUCACA
rnacentral:rRNA from 1 species